GCCGUGCGCUCUACCAUGCAGUCGACGGUGAGCUCAGCUUGCUGGGUGGAUCAGUGGCGAACGGGUGAGUAACACGUGAGCAACCUGCCCUCCACUUCGGGAUAAGCCUUGGAAACGGGGUCUAAUACCGGAUAUGAGCACUCAUCGCAUGGUGGGUGUUGGAAAGUUUUUCGGUGGGGGAUGGGCUCGCGGCCUAUCAGCUUGUUGGUGGGGUGAUGGCCUACCAAGGCGUCGACGGGUAGCCGGCCUGAGAGGGCGACCGGCCACACUGGGACUGAGACACGGCCCAGACUCCUACGGGAGGCAGCAGUGGGGAAUAUUGCACAAUGGGCGAAAGCCUGAUGCAGCGACGCCGCGUGAGGGAUGACGGCCUUCGGGUUGUAAACCUCUUUCAGCAGGGAAGAAGGCCCCUUGGGGUGGACGGUACCUGCAGAAGAAGCGCCGGCUAACUACGUGCCAGCAGCCGCGGUAAUACGUAGGGCGCAAGCGUUGUCCGGAAUUAUUGGGCGUAAAGAGCUCGUAGGCGGUCUGUCGCGUCUGGUGUGAAAUCCCAUGGCUCAACUGUGGGCGUGCAUCGGGUACGGGCAGACUAGAGUGCGGUAGGGGAGACUGGAAUUCCUGGUGUAGCGGUGGAAUGCGCAGAUAUCAGGAGGAACACCGAUGGCGAAGGCAGGUCUCUGGGCCGCAACUGACGCUGAGGAGCGAAAGCAUGGGGAGCGAACAGGAUUAGAUACCCUGGUAGUCCAUGCCGUAAACGUUGGGCACUAGGUGUGGGGCUCAUUCCACGAGUUCCGUGCCGCAGCUAACGCAUUAAGUGCCCCGCCUGGGGAGUACGGCCGCAAGGCUAAAACUCAAAGGAAUUGACGGGGGCCCGCACAAGCGGCGGAGCAUGCGGAUUAAUUCGAUGCAACGCGAAGAACCUUACCAAAGGCUUGACAUACACCGGAAACAUCCAGAGAUGGGUGCCCCGUAAGGUCGGUGUACAGGUGGUGCAUGGUUGUCGUCAGCUCGUGUCGUGAGAUGUUGGGUUAAGUCCCGCAACGAGCGCAACCCUCGUCCCAUGUUGCCAGCGGGUUAUGCCGGGGACUCAUGGGAGACUGCCGGGGUCAACUCGGAGGA
rnacentral:rRNA from 1 species